UGGGGAAUAUUGCACAAUGGGCGCAAGCCUGAUGCAGCCAUGCCGCGUGUGUGAAGAAGGCCCUCGGGUUGUAAAGCACUUUCAGCGAGGAGGAAGGUGGUGAGCUUAAUACGCUCAUCAAUUGACGUUACUCGCAGAAGAAGCACCGGCUAACUCCGUGCCAGCAGCCGCGGUAAUACGGAGGGUGCAAGCGUUAAUCGGAAUUACUGGGCGUAAAGCGCACGCAGGCGGUUUGUUAAGUCAGAUGUGAAAUCCCCGGGCUCAACCUGGGAACUGCAUUUGAAACUGGCAAGCUAGAGUCUCGUAGAGGGGGGUAGAAUUCCAGGUGUAGCGGUGAAAUGCGUAGAGAUCUGGAGGAAUACCGGUGGCGAAGGCGGCCCCCUGGACGAAGACUGACGCUCAGGUGCGAAAGUGUGGGGCAGCAAACAGGAUUAGAUACCCUGGUAGUCCACGCUGUAAACGAUGUCGAUUUGGAGGUUGUGCCCUUGAGGCGUGGCUUCCGGAGCUAACGCGUUAAA
rnacentral:rRNA from 1 species